CUCAUUUGAGUGAUUUAUUGAUAAAAAUCCCAGACAUUGGAAUAAUCGAAUUAUCCGUUUUUGACACUAAAAAGGGAAAAUAGGCAAGGCAAAUGAUAAAAUAAUUGAAAGGGCAAAUUGCAAAAUUCUAGCAAGAAAUGUACACAAGCGCUGGCGAAGUAGGAGUGGCCAUGGAUGAGGUGUUAAAAUAGAAGCAGCGGUUACCCAUAACGAGUACCUAUGAAUGAAAUAAAUUGAAAAACACAAGUGUUGAAGAGGUUGAAUGGUAAAUGUCAGUUUGUCUGGUAAAGGAAAAAUUCCUAGACCGGUUGAGGGGAACGGGGGUAAAACAAAGUGCUUUUUCAUGGCCAUCACUUCAAACAUAGUUGGACACCACUCUUAACUAAUCCCUUUUCCUUGAUAUUUACACUAACAAAACAGCCAUACAUGUGUCAACUCUUAAAAACAAUAAAAAAAACAUUCGAGCCGGUUCAGAACCCCUUGUAUGACCUAGCUUGAGAGGACCCAGCUUGAGAAGGACCCAGCUUGAGAAGGACCCAGCUUGAGAAGGACCCAGCUUGAGAAGGACCCAGCUUGAGAAGGACCCAGCUUGAGAAGGACCCAGCCUGAAGGACCCAGCCUGAGCAGACCCAGCCUGAGCAGACCCAGCCUGAGCAGACCCAGCAGUAAUGUCAUGAGGGGGGGGGGGGUUGUCUCUCCGUGUACUGUCGCUGCCGGCCUAUCGGCGCGUGCCGUCCAUGUGACCCAGGCGGCUCUGGAGCUCCAGCACCACGCUGCGCAUCACGCCGCCCAGGGCGUCGUGCAGCCUCACCAGCUGCUCCGCCGUGCAGAGACCCAGCUCCUCAAUGCUGGCGCUGGAGCUCAGGGUGUCCGCCUGGCAGAGAAGCCCCCCGGGGGAGAGGUGCCUGAUGGGGGACUGCGGCACGCUCCGACGGGCCUCCUCCACCUCCACUACCUUCGACUCUUCCAGCUCCUCCAUGGCCUCCACAGGCUCCUUCUUUGCCUCCAUCUUGUUGGUUGCCGUCUCCACGUCGUGGGUCAACGUCUCCGCAAGGACGCUCUCUUGGUCCGCAGGCUGGUCUUCGUCCACCAACUCUGUGGCUGCAAAUAAAAAAACAUGCUAAAUGUUUUCCUGUGUCGUUUUAAUUCUAUAGCGUGGAAGCACAUCAGGAACAGGGAGGUGAUCUGUGAUUGGUUAUCGAU
ensembl:lncRNA